rnacentral:lncRNA from 7 species
GUUAGGGUUAGGGUAGGGUUAGAGUUAGGGUUGGGUUAGGGUGGUUAGGGUUAGGGUUGGGGUAGGUUUAGGGUUACGGUUAGGGUAGUGUGGUUUAGGGUUGGUUAGGGUUAGGGUUACGGUUAGGGUUAGGGUCAGGGUAAGAGUUUGAGUUCGGAUUAGGGUAUAGGGGUGAGGGUGAGGGUAAGGCUUAGGUUUACGGGUUAAGGUUUUGGGUUACGCUAACGGUUAGGUUUGGGUUUGUGUUAGGAUAAUGGUACGAUUCAGGGUAGGGUUAGGGUUAGGGUAGGGUUAGGGUUCGGUUAGGCUUCAGGGUAAGUUUAGGGUAAGGGUUUUGGUUAGGGUUAUGGCAAGGGUUAGGCUUACUGUUAGGGUUAGUUGUCGGUAAAUUGGGUUUGAGUUACGGUAUGUAGGUAGUGUUAGGCUUAGGGUUAGGGUUAGUGUUAAUGUUAGGGUUAAAGUAAGUUUAGGGUUAGGGUUAGGGUUAGGGUUAGCAUUAUGUUCAGGGUUAGGGUUAGGGUUAGGGUUAGGGUUAGUGUUAGGGUAAGGUAGGGUUAUGGUUAGCCUUAUGGUUAGGGUUAGGGUUAGGGUUGGGGUAGGGUUAGGUUAGGGUUGGGGUUAGGUUUAGGGUUAAGGUUAGGGUUAGCUAGGGUUAGGGUUACGGUUACGGUUAGGGUUAGGGUUUGGGUUUGGGUUAGGGUCAGGGUUGGGUAGGUUUAGUGUUAGUCUAGGGUUAGGCUUAGGGUUAGGAAAUAGGUUAUAGCUACCUUUGAGGGUACUUAGGCUUAGGGUUAGGGUUAGGAUUGGGGUUAGGGUUAGGUUAGUGAUGCGGUUAGGGUUAGGGUUAGGGUUAGGGUUAGGGUUAGGGUUAGGGUUAGGGUUAGGGUUAGGGUUAGGGUUAGGAUUAGGGUAAAUUUAGGGUAAGUGUAGCUUUAUGGUUGGGAUAGCGUUAGGGUUAGGGUUAGGGAUAGGGUUAGGGUUAGGGUAAAUUUAGUUAAGUGUAGGGUUUGGAAGAGGAUAGGGCUAGGGUUACGGUAGGUUCAGGGAUAGGGUUGGGGUUAUGGUUAGGAUUAGGAUUAGGGUUAAGGUUUAGUUAGUGUCGUUAGUUUAUGGUUAGGGUAGGUUAGUGUUAGGAUUAGGUUUAGGGUUCCGCUUAGGGUAAGAUUAGGGUAUGGCUUAAUG